rnacentral:rRNA from 1 species
UACAGAGGGGGCAAGCGUUGUUCGGAAUUACUGGGCGUAAAGGGCGCGUAGGCGGCCUGUUAAGUCGAACGUGAAAUCCCUGGGCUCAACCCAGGAACUGCGUCCGAUACGGGCAGGCUUGAAUCCGGGAGAGGGAUGUGGAAUUCCAGGUGUAGCGGUGAAAUGCGUAGAUAUCUGGAGGAACACCGGUGGCGAAGGCGGCAUCCUGGACCGGUAUUGACGCUGAGGCGCGAAAGCCAGGGGAGCAAACGGG